GAAGAGCACUCGGAAUAACCUGCUGGAAAUGGGAUUCCUUCGCUAGGAAGAGCACUCGGAAUAACCUGCUGGAAAUGGGAUUCCUUCCCUAGGAAGAGCACUCGGAAUAACCUGCUGGAAAUGGGAUUCCUUCCCUAGGAAGAGCACUCGGAAUAACCUGCUGGAAAUGGGAUUCCUUCGCUAGGAAGAGCACUCGGAAUAACCUGCUGGAAAUGGGAUUCCUUCGCUAGGAAGAGCACUCGGAAUAACCUGCUGGAAAUGGGAUUCCUUCGCUAGGAAGAGCACUCGGAAUAACCUGCUGGAAAUGGGAUUCCUUCCCUAGGAAGAGCACUCAGAAUAACCUGCUGGAAAUGGGAUUCCUUCCCUAGAAAGAGCACUCGGAAUAACCUGCUACAACCUGNNNNNNNNNNCCUGCUGGAAAUGGGGUUCCUUCCCUAGGAAGAGCACUCGGAAUAACCUGCUGGAAAUGGGAUUCGUUCUCUAGGAAGAGCACUCGGAAUAACCUGCUGGAAAUGGGGUUCCUUCCCUAGGAAGAGCACUCGGAAUAACCUGCUGGAAAUGGGGUUCCUUCCCUAGAAAGAGCACUCGGAAUAACCUGCUGGAAAUGGGAUUCCUUCCCUAGGAAGAGCACUCCGAAUAACCUGCUGGAAAUGGGAUUCCUUCCCUAGGAAGAGCACUCAGAAUAACCUGCUGGAAAUGGGGUUCCUUCCCUAGGAAGAGCACUCGGAAUAACCUGCUGGAAAUGGGGUUCCUUCCCUAGGAAGAGCACUUGGAAUAACCUGCUGGAAAUGGGAUUCCUUCGCUAGGAAGAGCACUCGGAAUAACCUGCUGGAAAUGGGAUUCCUUCUCUAGGAAGAGCACUCGGAAUAACCUGCUGGAAAUGGGAUUCCUUCGCUAGGAAGAGCACUCGGAAUAACCUGCUGGAAAUGGGAUUCCUUCGCUAGGAAGAGCACUCGGAAUAACCUGCUGGAAAUGGGAUUCCUUCGCUAGGAAGAGCACUCGGAAUAACCUGCUGGAAAUGGGAUUCCUUCCCUAGGAAGAGCACUCAGAAUAACCUGCUGGAAAUGGGAUUCCUUCCCUAGAAAGAGCACUCGGAAUAACCUGCUACAACCUGCCUGCUUGAGGGUGACUGGGAUUCCUCCCGUAGGAAGAGCACUCGGAAUAACCUGCUGGAAACGGGAUUCCUUCCCUAGGAAGAGCACUCAGAAUAACCUGCCACAACCUGCCUGCUUGAGGGUGACUGGGAUUCCUUCCCUAGGAAGAGCACUCGGAAUAACCUGCUGGAAACGGGAUUCCUUCCCUAGGAAGAGCACUCAGAACAACCUGCCUGCUUGAGGGUGACAGCAAGUGUCUCACACUUCUCGUCUACUCCAAGUCAGAUUCCUAAAAAUAAAAUAGAGCUGCAAUGGGCAAUUUAAGCAAAAGCCUUAGAAACAUGGACACCUGAAAUGCUGGCCUACAUGAAGGGUACGAUGACAUUUUAUAUGUUAAGUAAAAAUUCCCAGUCCUGUUUUAGUAUUCAUCAGAAUAGCCUCUUGGACCCUCGAAGUUCUACACCUUUGGGAGAUAUAAAUUUCCUUAAAAUAAAGGGAUUGCUUCUUUGUGUAAAUAGCUUUCAUUUUCUCCAUCUGGAAGUGAUUUCUGCCUGCAUGUUGGAGCACAAAAUACUGCAUUUAAUUAAAGCAUUACUGGAUGUCAUUUGCUAGAAUGUAUUUCCUUACUGCUGACAGAAAACAGAACAGACUCUAGGAAAGAAUUAGCAAGCCCGUGACCCUGGCCCCUCCCGGUGGCUGCCCUUCUCCCUUCCCUGACAGUCUAAGGAAGCAACGCGUGGGAGCAGAAUGUGGCCGACUGAGCCCAGUCCUGACCUGUCCAGUUGCAGUGGAGCCUCUCUGUAAUGUUGUGUAAAGUGUUUUGCUUCUGACUUGGAACCCUGCUUGCCCUGUGAAUUUCUAUCCUGUGAACGUUCCCUUCUCUGUCCUUACCGUUCCCAUCACAGCCUGCUCUUCCAGUGACAGCCAAGUGAUUUCUCUCCUGCACGCAUGAGUCCAUCCUGUUUCCUUAGUAGCUGGAUGGACGUUUUGCCAUGAAAACUCUUUGGGAAGUCUUGUGUCCUUUAGUGAUUUCUCUCCUGCACGCAUAAGUCCAUCCUGUUUCCUUAGUAGCUGGAUGGACGUUUUUGCCAUGAAAACUCUUUGGGAAGUCCUGUGUCCUUUCAACAGGGGAAAACUGGCUGCGGCCCUUCCGUUAGGCUCCAGGAUCAUUACCUCGUUUCCAUUCUUUCUUUUCAACAGCUCCCCACUUUACUAGGGAAGCCAAGGGAUCAACCUAAUGAGAAAAGAACCUUCCCUGUAGCCCACCUGGAAGGCCAUUGCCUGCCAGCUCCUUCCUUCUCACCUAUGUGAACAGGAGGGAAGAUGCCGGCGAUCCAUGGAUCUGUGGGACAUGAAGGACGUGUCCAUCAGAAAUGAAAGCAGCCUGGGAUUGGAAGCGUCCACAGAAGACCUGAUCUGCAGGUCUUGAUUCGGACCUGGCACUUUGACACCAGGCGAGUCACUGAUCCCCUGAGCAUCCAUUUUCAAUAUUGGUGAGAGGGGAUUAUAAUGAAUAUUGGCUGUGAAGGUCACACAAGACUGGGCUAUAUGCACUUGCUCUGCCAUAAGGCAGUGUGAAGUGUGUUCAUGAUCACUUGUGGGCGGGAGCCUGUGGCUGUCUUGCCUGGACUGGCUUUUUUAAACAUGGCUGAGUGGUGACAAAUCCUGCGGCCGUGUGCAGGCUGCAUCUGCAGCGAGCUCAGCAUAUCUGGUCUUUGCCUUUUUAGGUCAUGACUGUAGUAUCAAGCUUACACGAGAGUUUUAAAAGACUGAGCAGUAUCCCCUUCCCCUGGCAGCUGCUGCUUCCGUAUCAUUUAGGGAUAAACCUGCAGACACUGAGAAGAGAGCUUCCUCCCUCCUGGGGCUGGUGGCGAGGCUGCCUGUUGUGGAAAAUAGGGCACGUCUCCUGUGAAUGCGAAUUGCGAGGGUUGCCAAAGCCUCCCUUCCAAAAAACUUGCUUAGGUGUCUCGUGUCCACAGACCAGACUCUUCUCCCGACAGGGACAAAAAUUCUUGCCUGCCUUUCUUUUUCUUUUUUUUCCUUUUACUUAUUCUUGCCUUUUCUUCUUCUUCUUCUUCUUUAGGUAUGAUGCCCCAAAAAAACUAAGCAAGAUUAACUUGGGACAGGCAGUUCUAACUGGGAAGCCUGAGCUCACAGGCUGUUUGGAUUACUUUCCAAUUGUGUUUCAAGGAUGUUUAGACUUUUCCCAAGGCCAGCUGAAUCCUUAUAAUCAGCCCAAAAGUUCCUUUCUGUUUCUGUCUGUCCCCUUUGAGGGUGUUGACUCAGAGAACCUGGGGCAAUAUGAGAUGUUAAAAUAAAAAUAGCGUCCAACGUCCCGCCUCCUGGGAAUGCUGCUCACUUCAUCCGAGGGCUCUGGGAGCUUCUGCUCAGUCAUCAAAUGGAAUUUGCACAAUUGUCCUGCCUCCUGUUUUGGGUAAUUUUUAAACAAGUGAGAAAUUAAGAACAGCUUCUCAACAAACUUCCCUCUACUUCCAGGGCCAAGAAAAGUAUUUGCAGAGUGGGCUGCAGCUUUCAGGGGUCUCAGGUGAAAUGGUGGCAAGAAACCCCAGCUCCCUUCAUGUGUUUGCUUUGUGCUGAUGGAAAAGGAAGGCACUUCUCAGCUGCCAGAGACCACAUUCCACAGGGUUCUUCACAAAAUCAAGCACUGCAGUGGACCGACUGGAGUAGCCGCUGGAGGGCUUUAGAAGGCAAAUGGAAUACAUAUCAAAUGCUAUGUAAAGAAACCAUCUGUUUACACAUAGAGUCCCCCACACCUCAUACCCACACCCAAUAUCAAAUGCUGUAUAAAGAAACAUCAGUUUACACACAGAGCCCCCCACAACCUCAUACCCCCACCCAAUAUCAAAUGCUAUAUAAAGAAACAUCAGUUUACACACAGAGUCCCCCACAGCCUCAUACCCAUGCCUGUCACAUCUUUGCACGGCCCUAAAGGAUCCAGAGCUUUGGAUCAGCAGCUGGCUAGCUCGGAGGUCAGAGGAGGGUGCUGAGGGGAGUGGAGGUCAGUUGGGGUAGCCCUGGGCCCUGGCUGCACAGUCCAGCUGCCGUGUGGCCUGCAUGUGGUAUCUUAGGUCAUGAGAGGGCCUGGGCAAUUCAGUGCUAUCUGUACAUGUUGGUGGGGUGGGAAGGAAAAGGUAACUGUGUAUUUACUGUGUCCUGGAUACAUUAUCUCAUCGGAUGUAAUUCCUGCUAAGUUGAGCUCCAUUUAGUGGAUGGGACUUGGAGGCUCAAAGAGGGUAAGUGACAGGCCCAAGGAUAUAUGCCUAGGGAGGGGUGAGCCAGGAUUCGAUGUGUGACUAGUAAGGGGUGUGACUAGUAAGGGGUCAGCCAGGAUUUGGUAUGUGACUAGUAAGGGGACGAGCCAGGAUUCGAUAUGUGACUAGUAAGGGGGUGAGCCAGGAUUCGAUAUGUGACUAGUAAGGGGUCAGCCAAGAUUUGAUAUGUGACUAGUGAGGGAUGAGACAGGAUUUGAUAUGUGACCAGUGAGGGGCGAGCCAGGAUUUGAUAUGUGACCAGUGAGGGGCGAGCCAGGAUUUGAUAUGUGACCAGUGAGGGGCGAGCCAGGAUUUGAUAUGUGACCAGUGAGGGGUGAGACAGGAUUUGAUAUGUGACCAGUGAGGGGCGAGCCAGGAUUUGAUAUGUGGCUAGUGAGGGGCGAGCCAGUCAGGAUUUGAUAUGUGGCUAGUGAGGGGUGAGACAGGAUUUGAUAUGUGGCUAGUGAGGGGUGAGCCAGUCAGGAUUUGAUAUGUGGCUAGUGAGGGGCGAGCCAGGAUUCAAUACGUGACCAGUGAGGGGCGAGCCAGGAUUCGAUAUGCGACUAGUAAGGGGGCGAGCCAGGAUUUGAUAUGUGACCAGUGAGGGGCGAGCCAGGAUUUGAUAUGUGACCAGUGAGGGGCGAGCCAGGAUUUGAUAUGUGACCAGUGAGGGGCGAGCCAGGAUUUGAUAUGUGACCAGUGAGGGGUGAGCCAGGAUUUGAUAUGUGACCAGUGAGGGGCGAGCCAGGAUUUGAUAUGUGGCUAGUGAGGGGUGAGCCAGUCAGGAUUUGAUAUGUGGCUAGUGAGGGGUGAGACAGGAUUUGAUAUGUGGCUAGUGAGGGGUGAGCCAGUCAGGAUUUGAUAUGUGGCUAGUGAGGGGUGAGGAAAUCAGUAAAAGUAUUGAAAACUAUUCCAGCAAAUAGGAAGCAUUUUAAACCAAGGUUAUGGAUGAAAAUGUGUGUGUAUCAACCCCAGUUUACUUCUGGGUUGCACAGAAUAGAGAAAUCUUUAUUUAAUCCAGCUAAGAAUUUGCAAAUAGUAUCCAUUUUGUUUUGUUUUAAACAGCUCUUCUUGUGGUGGUAGAGGCUCUUCAAUUAAACAGAGGUGGUAACAGGCUCUUUGUCUCCUGAAGUCUUCAUGGCCGUGAACAGCCCUUGGAGAAAGAGGUUAACAGAAGCAAGGGCCUCCGACAUCUUACAUUUGCCCCCAGAAGACAUUUGAGGAUGCACGUUGCGUUAUUACCAUUUUUAAUGUUUAGUUUUUAGAACUAAAACUAAAUGCAUUUUAAAAGUGAAGUUAGAAUCAAACCCUUGUAGAGGUUCUCACUCCACCAAAACAUCACUGAAGAUUUCCAGGUUUCCCCAGGUAUCUGUUUGGAAGCUGCUGCCCUCAUUGACACACGUUGCUCAUUGUUUUUCUGACCUUAGAGGGGAGGGCAGGCUUGGCACUGUCACCUAGUACAGGAAAGGGCACAGUUUGACUUGAGGUAGCCACCCAUUCAACAAUAGCACCUAAACUCUCUCCCAAAUUCUGUGCAAAUACAGGUUGAGCAUCCCUAACCUGAGAUGCUUGGGCCCAGGAGUGUUUUGGAGUUCAGCUUUUUUUUGAUUUUGGAAUAUGUGUGUUAUGUACAUGCCACUUGAGCAUCCCUAAUCGGAAAAUCCCAAAUCCAAAUCGCUUCAGUGAGCACUUCCUUUGGGUGUAAUGUCAGCACUCAAAAUGUUUUGGAUUUUGGAGCAUUUUGUAUUUCGGAUGCUCGACCCAUAAAGCUGUGGGGCACAGUUGAGAUGAGGCCUUGUGGCCUUUGGAAAGAACAUCUGAGAACCUUCUGAGUAACCCCUGGUGCAAGGGAGACAGUACUAAGAACAAAGCAGUGUCACUGGGAUGGAGAAGGGGCUUGGUCAGAGGGAGGUGGGCAAUCAGAAGAACCUGAUCCUUCCAAAAGCCCCAAAUCUCGUGCUUGAGACCUCGCAUGACUGUGUAGGCAAUGCUUCCCGACCUUUUCAGGACUUGAAACAGAAGUGACGACAUGAGUAACUCCUCUUCCCUCAACAGAAGAGGCUGCUGAGGCCGGAAGUGAUGGGCCUGGGAACACCUCCCUCCCUCCACAGCCCCAAGGCUAAAGGGAUCAGUAUCUGGCCAUUUGCUGGAUACCUUUGCGGUGGCCCCAGCAUUCCAGUUGGGAAACUCAGAAUUGGGGCAUGAAGGUUGGAAUUAGAGCAUCGGGGUUGGGUGGUGUGUUUGUUUCCGUGUUGGGAACUUUGUCAAAGUCCCUCCGUUUGUAGAUGGGAUGCUGAGAUCUCAAGAGGUUUAAUCACUGGCUUACUCCCCGCCAUAGAAGAGGAGUGGCAAAAGCUAAGCCACUUGUGUACAUGCCGCUCUCAAUAUCCCGCUCUCAACUCACCACACCACUUUCCCUAGCUGUCCAGUCCUGGGGUCUGUCCUUUGCCCCACCCAGGUCCUCAGAGAUUGUCCCCUUUCACCUUCUGCUUGCAGAAGUGAACAGGGGCCCCCCUGCUUUUCCUGAUGCCACACCCCCCCACAGCCUGUCGGCUUUGUUAGUGCGUCAAGGGAGUCCACCGCCCCCAUCCCCACAUGCAUUCCUGCCGAGCAAGUCAGCUUCCAUCUCAACCACUGUCCUGACCCUGCUCUCGAAGGUCACCGAUGCUCUUCUAGAAAGUCAGCUUCCAUCUCAACCACUGUCCUGACCCUGCUCUCGAAGGUCACCGGUGCCCUUCUAGAAAGUCAGCUUCCAUCUCAACCACUGUCCUGACCCUGCUCUUGAAGGUCACCGGUGCCCUUCUAGAAAGUCAGCUUCCAUCUCAACUGCUGUCCUGAUCCUGCUCUCGAAGGUCACCGGUGCCCUUCUAGAAAGUCAGCUUCCAUCUCAACCGCUGUCCUGACCCCUCUCUCGAAGGUCACCGAUGCUCUUCUAGAAAGUCAGCUUCCAUCUCAACCACUGUCCUGACCCUACUCUUAAAGGUCACCAAUGCCCUUCUAGCCUGACUCACAUCUGUCUUGACCCUUCUCUGGAAGGUCACCGAUGCCCUUCUAGCCCGACUCACAUCUGUCUUGACCCUUCUCUGGAAGGUCACCGAUGCCCUUCUAGCCUGACUCACAUCUGUCUUGACCCUUCUCUGGAAGGUCACCGAUGCCGAUGCCCUUCUAGCCCGGCUCACAUCUGUCCUGACAUUUCCUUCUCUCGAAGGUCACUGAUGUUCUUCAUCUGGCUCACAUCUGUCCUGACCCUUCUCUCGAAGGUCACCGAUGCCCUUCUAGCCUGGCUCACAUCUGUCCUGCCCAACUUCAGGAUAAUGUAACUGUUCUGAGCACGUUUAAGGUAGGCUAGGCUAAGCUAUGACAUUGGGGAGGUUAGGUGUAUUAAAUGCAUUUUUGACUUAACAAUGUGUCUAACUUACAGUGGGUUUAUUUGGACGUAACCCCAUCAUCUGUGGAGGAGCAUCUGUGUGUGAGUCCCCUCUCCCCAGA
rnacentral:lncRNA from 1 species